GUCAGUUUGUCCGAGCGGUUAAGGAGUUGACUUGAAAUCCAAUGGGCUAUGCCCGCACAGGUUCAAAUCCUGUAGCCGACG
rnacentral:tRNA from 1 species